rnacentral:misc_RNA from 1 species
GUAUUGAGUUUCUAUAGGCCGAAGCCAUUUGAAAUCAACAUUCUUUUUAACAUACAGGGGUGUGUAAGAUACAUAGACCCAGGAAAUUCGAUGGAAGCCGGCCAGAGGCACGACAACCUUCGCAUCCGCAACACAAAAAGUGCGCGAGAGUUUAUCCCGGGACUACAAAGGGUGCACAGGUGGAAAGAUAAAGGUGACAGGUGUGCACAUGCUCCUAAGAGCCAGCUACAACCAUGCCAGAUUUAUUCGAUAAUGAUCCUUCCGCAGGUUCACCUACGGAAA